CCUAACACAUGCAAGUCGAACGGUAACAGGAAGCAGCUUGCUGCUUCGCUGACGAGUGGCGGACGGGUGAGUAAUGUCUGGGAAACUGCCUGAUGGAGGGGGAUAACUACUGGAAACGGUAGCUAAUACCGCAUAACGUCGCAAGACCAAAGAGGGGGACCUUCGGGCCUCUUGCCAUCGGAUGUGCCCAGAUGGGAUUAGCUAGUAGGUGGGGUAACGGCUCACCUAGGCGACGAUCCCUAGCUGGUCUGAGAGGACGACCAGCCACACUGGAACUGAGACACGGUCCAGACUCCUACGGGAGGCAGCAGUGGGGAAUAUUGCACAAUGGGCGCAAGCCUGAUGCAGCCAUGCCGCGUGUAUGAAGAAGGCCUUCGGGUUGUAAAGUACUUUCAGCGGGGAGGAAGGCGAUAAGGUUAACAACCUUGUCGAUUGACGUUACCCGCAGAAGAAGCACCGGCUAACUCCGUGCCAGCAGCCGCGGUAAUACGGAGGGCGCAAGCGUUAAUCGGAAUUACUGGGCGUAAAGCGCACGCAGGCGGUCUGUCAAGUCGGAUGUGAAAUCCCCGGGCUCAACCUGGGAACUGCAUUCGAAACUGGCAGGCUAGAGUCUUGUAGAGGGGGGUAGAAUUCCAGGUGUAGCGGUGAAAUGCGUAGAGAUCUGGAGGAAUACCGGUGGCGAAGGCGGCCCCCUGGACAAAGACUGACGCUCAGGUGCGAAAGCGUGGGGAGCAAACAGGAUUAGAUACCCUGGUAGUCCACGCCGUAAACGAUGUCGACUUGGAGGUUGUGCCCUUGAGGCGUGGCUUCCGGAGCUAACGCGUAAGUCGACCGCCUGG
rnacentral:rRNA from 1 species